GAUGAACGCUGGCGGCGUGCCUAAUACAUGCAAGUCGAGCGAACAGACGAGGAGCUUGCUCCUCUGACGUUAGCGGCGGACGGGUGAGUAACACGUGGAUAACCUACCUAUAAGACUGGGAUAACUUCGGGAAACUGGAGCUAAUACCGGAUAAUAUAUUGAACCGCAUGGUUCAAUAGUGAAAGACGGUUUUGCUGUCACUUAUAGAUGGAUCCGCGCCGCAUUAGCUAGUUGGUAAGGUAACGGCUUACCAAGGCAACGAUGCGUAGCCGACCUGAGAGGGUGAUCGGCCACACUGGAACUGAGACACGGUCCAGACUCGUACGGGAGGCAGCAGUAGGGAAUCUUCCGCAAUGGGCGAAAGCCUGACGGAGCAACGCCGCGUGAGUGAUGAAGGUCUUCGGAUCGUAAAACUCUGUUAUUAGGGAAGAACAAAUGUGUAAGUAACUAUGCACGUCUUGACGGUACCUAAUCAGAAAGCCACGGCUAACUACGUG
rnacentral:rRNA from 1 species